rnacentral:rRNA from 1 species
UCUUUAUAAUAUUUGAAUUUCUAGAUUUAUUGAUUAUUUAAUUUUUAUGUUUUAGUAUUAUUUUAUUGGGGUGAUAUAAAGAUUUAAUAAACUCUUUAGAUUUAAGUUAAUAAUUUUUAUUCUUUUUUGAUCCAAUAUUUUGAUUAUAAGAUUAAGU